GGGUUCAUCUAUAAAGUCGCCGUUACUUGGUUUGUUUGUGUUUGUGUCUCAGCCUCUUGAAAUAUGCCAUGUGAUCUUGCUUUUGCUUCACACCCAUCUCUUUGAUUGACUUCCGACGAAAGCCACCGGGCCCCCGCACCAACGCGCUUUCCAAUCGCCGGUAUCUGACGUCUAACCGUGGCCACGGCUGAGAAUUACCAUGAGCAACGUGCACAACAGCGUGGAUACCGUAAAUGCUGCUGCCACCGCAAUUGUUACCGCUGAAAGCAGAGUUCAGCCAUCCACUGUUCAGGUUCUCACAGUCAGCAUAAGCAAGAAACUAUUUUGUGCCAAAGAGCGGUGAAGUUAUCUUAUGGUUCAACCUGGCUAGAAAAAAUCACAAUACAAGAAAUGUUGAGAUAAGGCUGUUUGGUGGAUUUUAUUAUGUAGAAGGUAAAAGAGCAUAAUUCAGACUUGCGUCAUUCUCGCAAGGUCAUAUCAUGGAGAAUGUCCCUUGGGGAGGUCAAAACAUGGCAUUGAAGUGUGAAUAUGGAGAAUUCAGAAAUGUAUAGCAAAACCACAAGCUACUGAAUACGUGAAGUCGCGUACAGGCACUCUACAAUAAAAUGAAAAUUGCGAGUGGGGAGAUGGACAUAGCAG